GACGAACCGUGCGAACGUUGUUCGGAAUCACUGGGCUUAAAGGGCGCGUAGGCGGCUCGCCAGGUCGGGGGUGAAAUCCCGCAGCUCAACUGCGGAAGUGCCUCCGAUACCGGCGGGCUCGAGGAAGGUAGGGGUGCGCGGAACUUCUGGUGGAGCGGUGAAAUGCGUUGAUAUCAGAAGGAACGCCGGCGGCGAAAGCGGCGCACUGGACCUUUUCUGACGCUGAUGCGCGAAAGCCAGGGGAGCAAACGGG
rnacentral:rRNA from 1 species